rnacentral:rRNA from 1 species
CACGUAGGGGGCUAGCGUUGUCCGGAAUUAUUGGGCGUAAAGAGCGUGUAGGCGGUCCGGUAAGUCGGCUGUGAAAGUCCAGGGCUCAACCCUGGGAUGCCGGUCGAUACUGCCGGACUAGAGUUCGGAAGAGGCGAGUGGAAUUCCCGGUGUAGCGGUGAAAUGCGUAGAUAUCGUUUGGAACGCCAAUGGUGAAAACAGGUAACUGGGAGUGUGCCGACGCUGAGACACGAAAGCCAGGGGAGCGAACGGG